rnacentral:rRNA from 1 species
GUAGGUGAACCUGCGGAAGGAUCAUUGUCGAUACCUGCCCAGCAGACAGACCCGCGAACACGUUUGCAUCACACGAUCGAGGGAGGGGGGUGUGGGGGGGCGUGAGCCCCUUCCCCCCUCGGCCUCGCAAAGGUCGGGCUGCGGGUAACCGUGGCAUCCGAUCGAAAACAAAACCACCGGCGCGGUUUGCGCCAAGGAACUGACAACGGAAUGGGCGUGCCGUCGUACCCUCGGUGCGAUGUGUGUCGUCUCGGAUCCGAAUCUCACGAACGACUCUCGGCAACGGAUAUCUCGGCUCUCGCAUCGAUGAAGAACGUAGCGAAAUGCGAUACUUGGUGUGAAUUGCAGAAUCCCGUGAACCAUCGAGUCUUUGAACGCAAGUUGCGCCCUAGGCCAUCGGGCUGAGGGCACGCCUGCCUGGGCGUCACGCAUCGCGUCGCCCGCCCCUUUUCGCCCCCGUGGCGACUUGGUGCGGAGCGGAGUCUGGCCCCCCGUGCCCCUUCCGUGGUGCGGUCGGCCCAAAGGCAAGGCCCCCUGUGUGGCGAGCGUCACGACGAGUGGUGGUUUGCAAUGAUUCUACCAUCAUUUGGGAGUCUUGUGCGCUCCGCCCAUAUCGGGUGGGCUUCCGUGACCCUGAUAACGUGUCGUCCUCGGACGACACUCCGACCGCGACCCCAGGUCAGGCGGGGCUACCCGCUGAG